rnacentral:rRNA from 1 species
AUGGCGGCGGCCCUCCGCCGUCGCGAGCUCCUCCUGUCGGAGGUCGCCGCCCUGCUGCUUCUGCUCCUCGCCGGACGCGCGGCGGCCGACGGCGCCGCCUCCCCCGGCUGCUCCAACAAGCUCCAGCCGGUUAAGGUGAAGAAGAACUGGGUGAGUGGAACCCAGGGCACGGCCGUUACUGGAAAGAGCACGACAUUCGGAGCCACCUUGCCCACAACUGUCAACGAGGCUCAGGGAACAUGCGCUGCCCUCACCUACCCUCUUGACCGCUGCUCCAAUACAGCCUCAAAGUUAACGGUUUCUGUUGCCUUACCGACAUGUGGACAGUGUGCUCUCACCGCUGAAGCGGAAACUGCACAGCCUGCUGAUGACCAAGAACUUCAUAAGACGGUUUGCAGUGUCAGUGAUCCUUCAAUUAAUGAGCCAAGUCGUCCGGUUGUGGACCCUUCACUAUGCUUCUUGUUCAUAAUGGCCGUAGGAACUAUAGUCUGCUCCUCACUCUGGGGUGAAUUCGUUGCAUGCCAACAGAUUGAUGGGCGUUAUAAUCAGCUGACAUGGCAGCAGGGACCGAAUUCUGGAACAAACAACAGACAAGAUAAACAAGUCAUUGAAAUCACCGCAAAGAGAGCUGGUUUUCAAAUUGUAAUAUGUUCAGUUUUCCUUCUCCUGUUCUACUUCAUGUCGUCUUGGGUCGCCUGGCUACUCAUUGUAUUGUUCUGCAUUGGUGGUAUUGAGGGUAUGCAUGUUUGCUUGGUGACAAUUAUCUCUAGGAUUUACAAGGAUUUGAGAAAUAAUACUGUACAAUUGCCGUUGUACGGGGAGGUCUUAACCUUGUCUCUUGGAGUGGCACCAUUCUGUACGGUAUUUGCCAUUCUAUGGGCUGCUUAUCGGCAUUCUUCGUUUGCUUGGAUAGGUCAAGACAUCCUUGGUAUCUGCUGGAUGAUAAACAUAAUUCAGAAGGAGCAUUUACCUAAUAUCAGGGUUGCAUCGGUUCUUCUUGGUGGUGCAUUUGUGUAUGACAUCUUCUGGGUCUUCAUUUCACCUCUUAUAUUCCAUGAGAGUGUUAUGCUUGCACUCCCAGGUUGCAAGUGGUGCAGCUCAGGGGAAGUGAUUCCGAUGCUCCUAAGAAUACCUCAUUUCUUUGAUCCAUUGGGUGGAUAUGCCAUGUUAGGCUUUGGUGAUAUUAUUUCCCCUGGACAUCUCAUCGCAUUCAGCUACAGAACCCAGAUUUUCAUUUUUCCUUUUACCCUUGCAGGCCUUUUCCUUGCCUGUCUUGGGUUCUUCCUAAUGGAUGGACAUGGUCAACCAGCGAUGAUGUACCUAGUACCAUGCACCCUAGGGCUUAUUGUUGUGCUUGGCUGGAUAAGAGGUGAACUGCCUCACUUGUGGAACUAUGGAAGAAGACAGGAAAAUUUAGUCGGUGAAGUUGAUAUGUGGUCAGACAGGGUUUAA